rnacentral:sRNA from 2 species
GAGUUUGGCCGCUAGGGUUCCGAUGCGCUUUGAGCGCGUGACUGGUCCGAGAGCAGCCACUGGAUGGAGGAGACAUUCCAUCCAGAUGCACGGCGGGACAAAAGCCCGGGAGAC